GAUGAACGCUGGCGGCGUGCCUAAUACAUGCAAGUCGAGCGAACAGACGAGGAGCUUGCUCCUCUGACGUUAGCGGCGGACGGGUGAGGAACACGUGGAUAACCUACCUAUAAGACUGGGAUAACUUCGGGAAACCGGAGCUAAUACCGGAUAAUAUAUUGAACCGCAUGGUUCAAUAGUGAAAGACGGUUUUGCUGUCACUUAUAGAUGGAUCCGCGCCGCAUUAGCUAGUUGGUAAGGUAACGGCCUACCAAGGCAACGAUGCGUAGCCGACCUGAGAGGGUGAUCAGCCACACUGGGACUGAGACACGGUCCAGACUCCUACGGGAGGCCGCAGUAGGGAAUCUUCCGCAAUGGGCGAAAGCCUGACGGAGCAACGCCGCGUGAGUGAUGAAGGUCUUCGGAUCGUAAAACUCUGUUAUUAGGGAAGAACAAAUGUGUAAGUAACUAUGCACGUCUUGACGGUACCUAAUCAGAAAGCCACGGCUAACUACGUG
rnacentral:rRNA from 1 species